GCCACUCCUUGAUUGUCUUCAC
rnacentral:siRNA from 1 species